CCUACCUUCAACCGUUGCUUCGGCGGGUUGGCACCGGGUCUCCCGGCGCCCCCGGCCCCCUCGCGGGGCGGCCCGCCGGAGGUACCUAACUCUUGAACAUUGUAUGGCCUCUCUGAGUCUUCUGUACUGAAUAAGUCAAAACUUUCAACAACGGAUCUCUUGGUUCUGGCAUCGAUGAAGAACGCAGCGA
rnacentral:misc_RNA from 1 species